ACCAGACUCCUACGGGAGGCAGCAGUGAGGAAUAUUGGUCAAUGGCCGAGAGGCUGAACCAGCCAAGUCGCGUGAGGGAUGACGGCCCUACGGGUUGUAAACCUCUUUUGCCGGGGAGCAAAGAGCGGGACGCGUCCCGCCUCGAGAGUACCCGGAGAAAAAGCAUCGGCUAACUCCGUGCCAGCAGCCGCGGUAAUACGGAGGAUGCGAGCGUUAUCCGGAUUUAUUGGGUUUAAAGGGUGCGCAGGCGGAAUGUCAAGUCAGCGGUAAAAUUUCGGGGCUCAACCCCGUCGUGCCGUUGAAACUGGCGUUCUUGAGUGAGCGAGAAGUAUGCGGAAUGCGUGGUGUAGCGGUGAAAUGCAUAGAUAUCACGCAGAACCCCGAUUGCGAAGGCAGCGUACCGGCGCCCGACUGACGCUGAAGCACGAAAGCGUGGGUAUCGAACAGGAUUAGAUACCCGGGUACU
rnacentral:rRNA from 1 species